AGGACGAACGCUGGCGGCGUGCCUCAUGCAUGCAAGUGGAGCGACGAACCAGGAUUUAUCCUGGGGCAAAGCCGCGAACGGGUGAGUAACACGUGGGUUACCUGCCCCGAUGAUUGGGACAACCCGAGGAAACUCGGGCUAAUACCAAAUGUGUUCUUGGUCGUGAUGACCAAGAAGAAAGGAAGCCUCGGCCUCCGCAUCGGGAUGGGCCCGCGGCCCAUUAGCUAGUUGGUGGGGUAAUGGCCUACCAAGGCGACGAUGGGUAGCUGGUCUGAGAGGACGAUCAGCCACACUGGGACUGAGACACGGCCCAGACUCCUACGGGAGGCAGCAGUGGGGAAUAUUGGACAAUGGGCGCAAGCCUGAUCCAGCAAUGCCGCGUGAGUGAAGAAGGUCUUCGGAUUGUAAAGCUCUUUCGACGGGGACGAUGAUGACGGUACCCGUAGAAGAAGCCCCGGCUAACUUCGUGCCAGCAGCCGC
rnacentral:rRNA from 1 species